rnacentral:rRNA from 1 species
UAGGGUUCCUGCUCAACGUUAAUCGGAGCAGGGUGAGUCGACCCCUAAGGCGAGGCUGAAAAGCGUAGUCGAUGGGAAAUAGGUUAAUAUUCCUAUACCUCUUACUGAUGCGAUGGAGGGACGGAGAAGGCUAGGUUUACCAGCGAUUGGUAGUGCUGGGGAAAGGUUGUAGGCAUGUAUCUUAGGCAAAUCCGGGAUACUUUAUGCUGAGAACUGAGACGAACCCAUACUUGUAUGGGGAAGUAACUGAUGCCAUGCUUCCAAGAAAAGCUUCUAAGCUUCAGUCAGUAAGGGAUCGUACCCGAAACCGACACAGGUGGUCAGGUCGAGAAGACUAAGGCGCUUGAGAGAACUCUGGUGAAGGAACUAGGCAAAAUAGUACCGUAACUUCGGGAGAAGGUACGCUGUUGAUGGUGAAGGAUUUACUCCGUAAGCUAUCGGCAGCCUCAGAAACUAGGCCGCUGCAACUGUUUAUUAAAAACACAGCACUCUGCAAACACGAAAGUGGACGUAUAGGGUGUGAUGCCUGCCCGGUGCUGGAAGGUUAAUUGAUGGGGUUAGCGAAAGCGAAGCUCUUGAUCGAAGCCCCAGUAAACGGCGGCCGUAACAAUAACGGUCCUAAGGUAGCGAAAUUCCUUGUCGGGUAAGUUCCGACCUGCACGAAUGGCAUAAUGAUGGCGGCGCUGUCUCCACCAGAGACUCAGUGAAAUCGAAAUCGCGGUGAAGAUGCCGUGUACCCGCGGCUAGACGGAAAGGCCCCGUGAACCUUUACUGCAGCUUUGCACUGAACUUUGACCUUACUUGUGUAGGAUAGGUGGGAGGCUUUGAAGCUCGGACGCUAGUUCGAGUGGAGCCAUCCUUGAAAUACCACCCUGGUAAUGUCGAGGUUCUAACCCAGAUCCGUUAUCCGGAUCGGGGACAGUGUAUGGUGGGUAGUUUGACUGGGCGGUCUCCUCCUAAAGAGUAACGGAGGAGUACGAAGGUGCGCUCAGUGUGGUCGGAAAUCACGCAAUGAGUAUAAAGGCAAAAGCGCGCUUAACUGCGAGACCGACAAGUCGAGCAGGUACGAAAGUAGGUCUUAGUGAUCCGGUGGUUCUGUAUGGAAGGGCCAUCGCUCAACGGAUAAAAGGUACUCUGGGGAUAACAGGCUGAUACCGCCCAAGAGUUCAUAUCGACGGCGGUGUUUGGCACCUCGAUGUCGGCUCAUCUCAUCCUGGGGCUGAAGCAGGUCCCAAGGGUAUGGCUGUUCGCCAUUUAAAGAGGUACGCGAGCUGGGUUUAGAACGUCGUGAGACAGUUCGGUCCCUAUCUACCGUGGGCGUUGGGGACUUGAGAGGAUCUGCUUCUAGUACGAGAGGACCGAAGUGGACGUACCUCUGGUGUUCGGGUUGUCACGCCAGUGGCACUGCCCGGUAGCUAUGUACGGACGGGAUAACCGCUGAAAGCAUCUAAGCGGGAAGCCCACCUUAAGAUAAGGUCUCCCUGGGGGUUUAACCCCCCUAAAGAGCCGUUAGAGACCAUGACGUUGAUAGGUUCGGUGUGGAAGUGCGGUGACGCAUGAAGCUAACGAAUACUAAUUGCUCGUGAGGCUUGACU